ACUUGCUUGCUCGCUUGCUCGCUGCCUAGCAGUGUGUGGGUGUGCUCUCCAGCCGUACAUCUUCAGUUCAAAGAAGCUGUCUAGGGGGAUGCUUUUACUCAGAGACUGUCUGGGCAUCAGUCAGAGGAUAGCGAACAUAUUUAACAUGGAUCACUUGUUUCAUAUUUCUUAUCAUUCAGUCCUGCAGAGAAGGACUUGAGGGUUCAGGUGGACAAAAAGCUGGACAUGAGCCAGCAAUAUACUCUUGCCAACAGUAUCCUGGGCUACAUCAAGAGAGGGAUGGCCAGUAGAAAAAGGGAGGUGGCUGUUCCCCUCUGCUCUGCCUUCAUGAGGUCCCAUCUGGAGUACUGCAUCCAAGCCUGGGGACCUCAAUACAAGAAAGAGACAGAACGGUUGAAGUGGAUCAAGAAGGACACAAGGAUGAUCAAAGGUCUGCAGCACCUUUCCUAUGAAAAACUUUUGAGACACCUGGACUUGCUUAGCCUGGAGAAGACUUUGAGGGAACCUCAUUGAAGCUUUCCAGCACUUGAAGGGAGCUUAUUAAGCAGGAAGGGAAACAAUUUUUAUACAGUCCAAUAGUGAUAGGACAAGGAUGAACGGCUUUAAAGUAAAAAAGGGGAAAUACAGGUGUGGGGAAGAAAAUUUUCACCCAGAGGGUGAUAAGGCACUGGAACAGGCUACCCAGGUAUGCUGUGGAUGCCCUAUCUCUGGAGAUGUUCAAGGCCAGGUUGGAUAGGACCACUGGCAAACUGGUCUAGGAGGAGGCAGCUCUUCCCAUGGUUGGAACUGGCUGGGCUUUAAGGUCCCUUCUAAUCCAAGUCAUUCUAUGAUUCUGUGAUUCUGUGAUUAUCAUCAAUAUUAUUUUCCCCUCCUUUUCAGUAUUAUGAAAUUGGCUUUAUCUCAACCCAUGAGUUUUACCUUUUUCUGAUUCCUUCUCCAAUCUCACAAUACGGUAUGAGCAAACAGCCGUGCAGUUUGUUCACUGUACAACUGUGCAGCUGCCUGCCAGGUUAAACCACAGCAUUAACAGACACCACAAAACAUGCCUAAUGCACGCAGAGGAGAUUAAUUAAUUUACAGAGUACAUGCAACAGUGGGCUAAAAUAAGCUCUAGGAGAAAACAACUGUCCUAUCUGUGAGAGCUACCUUCUGGGUGCCAGAUAGUGCAUUAAAAGUAGAGCUUUCCAAACUAAGAGUAGUGACCACAGCAGCAUUUGUGGCACAUAGCUGUGGAGGAAUAAAUCAAAUGAAGAUAAACUUCCAAAACUGAGAAUCAUUAAAGAAGUCAUAAAUCAGGAGGUGAAACUGGAAGGUCAUUUUUGCGAACAUAGAAUUUAGGUGAAAUUGACUUUUUACUUAGUUCUCCUUUAUAGGCACUAUAUGCAAUUAUUUACUAAGAACUCACUGAAAUCAUACAGGAACACAACAGAAUGUUGCUUUAGAGCAACCACUUAUCACUUGCUUACCACUUACCUGGCACCUUGCUGGUUAUUUUAUAAAGAUAUAGCUAUCAUGACAUGUACAGUGAUACUCUGAACAGGAGUCUUUCCCUGUACAUGAGAAACACUGAUAAACACACAAGUCAUCUCUGCAGAGAUAUUUUGACUAAAGCUUGUUCUAAAUCUGUUCCAUUUGCUUGCCACAGACAGCCCUCUCCAUUCACUUCAUCCAUUUUCCUAUCUUUCAGAGUUAGUAAAAGUUCAUUUAUUUGUGUUUAACAGCAGCUGUUUUUACUCAUUAUGACUUAUUCUAAACAACGGUAUUCUUGUUCUAAGUAACAGAGUACUAGCAUGCAGAUAUCUUUCUUUUCAAAUAUUUUGGAAGAUACUAUUCUUAACUGAUCUUCCUAUUCAUGUUAAAAAGUAAAGAAAUAAAAGAAGACAGAAGCUAGCUGUUCUUUACUAACAAAAAGCUAUGUUAUGUGCUUGUUUUCACAACUAUACUAAAAGAAGUAGCUAGUACAAAAUUUAAUAUAUAUGCUUACUUUACAGCUAAAUUGACUGUGUGAUAACCCGUAAUGUUAGCUCAAUUUUAAAUUGUCCAGAGACAUUUAUAUGAAUGUGUGUAAUCAACGGAACAUACAAAGUUACAUAAUUAAUGGAAAAUGUUUCCACAGUUCAAUGAAAGUAAUUAUAGCACCUGCGUUAUUGAAUUACGUAAAUUAGAGUUCUCUCAUCUUAGUCACUGUCCUUCCCUAACAACAAGUAUGCAAAAAUGUCUUUGUUAUUUGAAAAAUCAUUUUUGAAUUGUUAGGAACUUCAUAUUCAGAGCAUACAUUUAUUAGCAGUAUUUUAUUUUUAGUGCAAGAAAAUAUUAUCUUUUGUUCCUUUAUUUCAAACUCUUUCCUUGAACAUUUAUAUAUAGAAAUCUAACCGAGGACAUUAUUUUGGAAAUCUAUAUGGAACUGUAACCUAUAUGUCAAAACGUGUAUCCAAUUGUAUUAAACAUUAUGACCAUGGAUGCCAGUUCCUAACCCUAGCUAACAUGGCUCAGCCUCAGGCUCAUCAGUCAGGCUUGUAUUCAUCCAACUGCAAUGAAACAGAUAUCACAGCUCUGACUUGGCAUCACAUUUAAAUAAGUUCAGCUAUACAGAAGCUAGACAUCUAGCCUAAAUUGCCUCCAUAGUCUACAGAGAGAAAGAGAGAGAAAAAGCCAAAAGAAGAGGUACAGAAUUACAAAAAUUCUAGUGGCAGGAAGUGACCUCUAGAGAUCCCCAAGUCCAACCCCCUGCUAAAGCAGGGUCCCUACAGAUUACAUAGGGAAGAAGCAUCCAGGUGAGUGAUGAUCUCCAGAGAAGGAGACUCCACAGCAUCUCUGGACAGCUUGUUCCAGUGCUCUGUCACUGGACCACUCUUAAAGACUUUUCUUGUGUUUGUAUGAAACAUCCUGUGUUUUAGUUUCCUUCUUGCUACUUUGCUAUAAAAUUAAUAUUCUUUCAGCAAAGAGUAUUACUUUGUCCUUUACUUUGUCCUUUUUUGGAGUCUGGAUAUCCAAGCAGUACUAAACACAUACACUAUUCCAGAUCAUGAAAUAUAUGUGAAAUUAGACCUUUGUUUGAAUUGUGUAUUAACAUGUAUGCAGGGUGUGAACUGUACAAUGUAAAUUUGCAUCCUAACACAUCAAACUAGUCUUCUUGAGUAAGCUGCCUCCAAGCUCAACACACUCAGUCAGACAGCUAGACUGAAUCUGCCCUUCACAUGGUCACGGUACACCAUUUCAAUUCAUAACACUAAGAAAUACAUUAUAUGAAUUUUUACACUUUGCAUUCAAUGGAAUUCACAUUUGUACAUAACAGGGACUAAAUAUGCGAGGAAAAUGAACAUUUCAUGAAUUCAUACCAAAUGGGUCACCAGACUAUUGUUUUGUAAUCUUCAACUAUGUUCAGCAUCUCCUAAUGACUUACCCAUGGCUUUUGUGAAACGAGGGGUUGUUUUCAGUAUGAGUGUCAACUAGCAGGUGUCUACCGCAUAUUACUUUUUGUCAUGUCAAGUAUCACCAGUGCCCCAAGAACGUCCAAGAAGUUAACAUCAUUUGGAUAUAGGGUAAACUAUCUAUUUCAUUCCAAA